rnacentral:rRNA from 1 species
AGAGUUUGAUCCUGGCUUAGGAUGAACGCUAGCUACAGGCUUAACACAUGCAAGUCGAGGGGCAGCAUGGUCUUAGCUUGCUAAGACUGAUGGCGACCGGCGCACGGGUGAGUAACGCGUAUCCAACCUUCCCCUUAGUAGGGAAUAGCCCGGCGAAAGUCGGAUUAAUGCCCUAUGUUAUUCGUUGAGGACAUCUGAAGUGAAUCAAAGGUUUACCGCUAAGGGAUGGGGAUGCGUCUGAUUAGGUUGUUGGCGGGGUAACGGCCCACCAAGCCAUCGAUCAGUAGGGGUUCUGAGAGGAAGGUCCCCCACAUUGGUACUGAGACACGGACCAAACUCCUACGGGAGGCAGCAGUGAGGAAUAUUGGUCGAUGGGCGAGAGCCUGAACCAGCCCAAGUAGCGUGCAGGAUGACGGCCCUAUGGGUUGUAAACUGCUUUUGUACGGGAAUAAAGUGAGGGACGUGUCCCUUUUUGUAUGUACCGUAAGAAUAAGGACCGGCUAAUUCCGUGCCAGCCGCGGC